rnacentral:tRNA from 5 species
GCAUCUGUAGUGUAGGGGUUAUCAUCCCAGCCUUCCAAGCUGGGGACUCGAGUUCGAGUCUCGACAGAUGCA